GACCACGUAGCCGAAGCGGCCGCCGGCGGCCGGGAGGCCUCCCUGGCCGGGCUGGAAGGUGGUGAUCGUGGCGUUCGAACCGCCCGCGGUCAC
rnacentral:tRNA from 1 species